UGCUGUAGGUAAGUCUGUAGAUUAUUAGUAUGCUGUAGGUCAGUCUGUAGAUCAUCAGUACGCUGUAGGUCAGUGUGUAGAUUAUUAGUAUGCUGUAGGUCAGUCUGUAGAUCAUCAGUACGCUGUAGGUCAGUCUGUAGAUCAUUAGUAUGCUGUAGGUCAGUCUGUA